rnacentral:rRNA from 1 species
AGGACGAACGCUGGCGGCGUGCCUAACACAUGCAAGUCGAGCGGAGUUAUAUGGAGGAAGUUUUCGGAUGGAAUCCAUAUAAUUUAGCGGCGGACGGGUGGGUAACGCGUGAGCGACCAACCUUGCACAGGGGGAUAAUGGACCGAAAGGUUCACUAAUACCGCAUGAGACCACGGUGUUGCAUGACACAGAGGUCAAAGGAGCAAUCCGGUGCAAGACGGGCUCGCGUCCGAUUAGGUAGUUGGUGGGGUAACGGCCCACCAAGCCUAUGAUCGGUAGCCGACCUGAGAGGGUGAUCGGCCGCAUUGGAACUGAGAUACGGUCCAAACUCCUACGGGAGGCAGCAGUGGGGAAUAUUGGGCAAUGGGGGGAAAAACCCCUGACCCAGCAACGCCGCGUGAAGGAAGAAGGUUUUCGGAUUGUAAACUUCUGUCCUUGGUGAAGAGAAGAAGACGGUAGCCAAGGAGGAAGCCCCGGCUAACUACGUGCCAGCCGCAGC